rnacentral:rRNA from 1 species
GAUGAACGCUGGCGGCAUGCUUUACACGUGCAAGUCGGACGGGAAGUGGUGUUUCCAGUGGCGGCCGGGUGAGUAACGCGUAAGAACCUGCCCUUGGGAGGGGAACAACAGCUGGAAACGGCUGCUAAUACCCCGUAGGCUGAGGAGCGAAAGGAGGAAUCCGCCCAAGGAGGGGCUCGCGUCUGAUUAGCUAGUUGGUGAGGUAAUAGCUUACCAAGGCCGUGAUCAGUAGCUGGUCCGAGAGGAUGAUCAGCCACACUGGGACUGAGACAAGGCCCAGACUCCUACGGGAGGCAGCAGUGGGGAAUUUUCCGCAAUGGGCGAAAGCCUGACGGAGCAAUGCCGCGUGGAGGUAAAAGGCCUACGGGUCAUGAACUUCUUUUCCUGGAGAAGAAACAAUGACGGUAUCUGGGGAAUAAGCAUCGGCUAACCCUGUG